rnacentral:rRNA from 1 species
AGUCCUGGCUCAGGAUGAACGCUGGCGGCGUGCUUACACAUGCAAGUCGAACGAAGCAGCAUGGAACGAAGUCUUCGGAGGAGGGAAAUGGUGACGUGAGUGGCGGACGGGUGAGUAACGACGUGGGUAACCUGCCUCGUACAGGGGACAACAGUUGGAACGACUGCUAAUACCGCAUAAGCGCACGAUACUGCAUGGUAUUGUGUGAAAACUGAGGUGGUACGAGAUGGACCCGCGUCUGAUUAGCUGGUUGUGGGGUAACGGCCUACCAAGGCGACGAUCAGUAGCCGACCUGAGAGGGUGACCGGCCACAUUGGGACUGAGACACGGCCCAAACUCCUACGGGAGGCAGCAGUGGGGAAUACUGCACAAUGGGGGAAACCCUGAUGCAGCGACGCCGCGUGAAGGAAGAAGUAUUUCGGUAUGUAAACUUCUAUCAGCAGGGAAGAAAAUGACGGUACCUGAGUAAGAAGCCCCGGCUAACUACGUG